AUUUAUGAAGUAAUUUCGUAUUUCUUUUGACCCCAACAUGGGGGAGAAAUAUUGUGUACCUCUGAGCGCCAUCUCAGAUUAUUGCAUGGUAUGCUUUUUCCGUAAAGUAAAAAAAUAAUCUGACACAGCGGUUUCAUUAACUUCACAUUGCUGCAGGGGCAGUAUUGAGUAGCUUGGAUGAAAAGGUGCCCAUUGUAAACGGCCAGCUCCUCGGUCUCAGUUGCUAAUAUAUGCAUAUUAUUAUUAGUAUUUGAUAGAAAACACUCUAAAGUUUCCAAAACUGUCAAAAUAUUGUCUGUGAGUAUAACAGAACUGAUAUUGCAGGUGAAAUCCUGAGGAAAAUCAAAGCAGGAAAUGGCUUCUAUUUUGAAAGCUACAUGUUCCAUAGCCUCCUUUUGCUCCAUUUAAAGGGAUAUGAACCAGAUUCCUUUUCCUAUCGCUUCCUCAAGGUGUCAACAGUCUUCAGACAUAGUUUCAGGCUUUUAUUUUUUAAAAUGAGCCAGAACGAAAACAUUGUGUCAAGUGGUCACAUGAGUUUUGCUUGCGCAACAGAAUUUGGACAGACAUUGUUUUCCCCUCUCCUACUGUGAAAGACAUUUGCGGUUGAUAUAUUAUCGAUUAUAUAUUUUAAAAACAACCUGAGGAUUGAUUAUAAAAAACAUUUGACAUGUUUCUGUGGACAUAAUGGAAACUAUUUGGAAUUUUCGUCUGCGAUGUCGUGACUGCUCUUUCCUGUGGAUUUCUGAACAUAACGCGACAAACAAACAGAGGUGUUUUGGAUAUAAAAUCAUCUUUAUGGAACAAACGGAACAUUUGUUGUGUAACUGGGAGUCUCGUGUGUGAAAACAUCCGAAGAUCAUCAAAGGACCUGAGCCCAAGGACCAUGCGUCAGGACUACCUGGCAUGAUGACUCCUUGCUGUCCCCAGUCCACCUGGCCUUGCUGCUGUUCCAGUUUCAACUGUUCUGCCUGCAGCUAUGGAACCCUAAACUGUUCAUUUUUACUCUUGAGGUGCUGUCCUGUUGCACCCUCUACAACCACUGUGAUCUCCACCCGGCACAGCCAGAAGAGGACUGGCCACCCCUCAUAGCCUGGUUCCUCUCUAGGUUUCUUCCUAGGUUUUUGCCUUUCUAGGGAGUUUUUCCUAGCCACCGUGCUUCUACACCUGCAUUGCUUGCUGUUUGGGGUUUUAGGCUGGGGCUAUAUAAAUAGAUUUGAUUUUAUAGAGGACUGAGGGUCUUCCAAAUAUUGAAAGUGUGUAAAUAGUUACCCAUGUUAUUUUGUAAAUGUUUAUAUAUAUUUUUUUCAUAUUUUGUUUGAAAUGUUUGGACAAAGAUUACAGGUAACUUAUUAGAUAUUUUGUAGUCAUGUUGCGCGAGUUGGAACCGGUGUUUUUCUGAAUCCAACGCUCUGAAUAAAUGGACAUUUUGGAGAUAUACAGUGCCUUGCGAAAGUAUUCGGCCCCCUUGAACUUUGCGACCUUUUGCCACAUUUCAG
ensembl:lncRNA